rnacentral:rRNA from 1 species
AACGAACGCUGGCGGCAUGCCUAACACAUGCAAGUCGAACGAGACCUUCGGGUCUUUUGGCGCACGUGUGCGUACCGCGUGGGAACCUGCCCUUAGGUUCGCAAUAACUCCCCGAAAGGGGUUCUAAUACCGGAUAAUGUCUUCGGACCAAAGAUUUAUCGCGUUUGGUUGGGCCCGCGUUGGUUUAGCUAGUUGGUAGGGUAAAAGCCUACCAAGGCGACGAUCCAUAGCUGGUCUGAGAGGAUGAUCAGCCACACUGGGACUGAGACACGGCCCAGAAUCGUACGGGAGGCAGCAGUGGGGAAUAUUGGACAAUGGGCGAAAGCGUGAUAAAGCAAUGCCGCGUGAGUGAUGAAGGCCUUAGGGUUGUAAAGCUCUGUUAACCGGGAGGAUAAUGACAGUACCGGGAGAAUAAGCUCCGGCUAACUCCGUG